rnacentral:rRNA from 2 species
GGGUGUGUCGAUAGCGCAGGGGAAACACCUAGUUACAUCUCGAACCUAGAAGUUAAGUCCUGUUGCGGCGAAGGUAGUGCUCGGGGGACUGAGUGUGAGAAUAGCAAGAUGCACCCA